rnacentral:rRNA from 1 species
AAUUGCAACAUCGAGGUCGCAAACUUAUUCAUCGAUAUGAACUCUCCGAAAAAUUACGCUGUUAUCCCUAAGGUAAGUUAAUCUUAUAAUCAAAAAUUCUGGAUCAAAAAAACAUAAAUUAAUGAAUAAAAUAUUAAAAGUUAAAUAAAUUUUAAUGUCACCCCAACAAAACUUUAUAUUCUAAAAAAUUGUUUAAUCAACAAAAAAUAAUAAUUAAUAAAUAAAGUAAACUUCUAUAGGGUCUUCUCGUCCUAUAAAAAAAUUUUAGCUUUUUAACUAAAAAAUUAAAUUCAAAAUAAUUAAAAAAAGAAAGUUUAUUUUUCAUCAAACCAUUCAUGCUAGCCUUCAAUUAAAAGACAAAUGAUUAUGCUACCUUCGUACAGUU